UUGAAGGAGUUCAGUGGUACA
rnacentral:miRNA from 1 species